rnacentral:lncRNA from 1 species
GCCCUGGGCCUGCACGCUGCUGCCGGGCUCAGGCCCAGCAACACGCCCAGUGGGAGCCACUGUCAACACUUCACCAGGGGCAGGCGAGGCCCAGAGCAGCAGGAAAGAGCUGGGGAGCAGGGCUGCUGGGAGGGGCCCUCAUGUGGAAGGAAGGCUGUCUUGAACCCCCAGCUCUCUGACACUCGCUGUUCCCCAGAAUACGAGUCGCAGACACCACCAGAGCCACGGGGCUAUCAGUCACUCACACUUCAGUGUGAGUCAGCUCCAGCGGGCAGCUUUUCUCCACCCUUCGCUGCGCGGGCCAAGGGAUCGAAAAGUUCGCCAACUCGCCGCCCGGGGCCUUCGGAGAAAAUUAAGGGCAAAGUUGUACCUGCUUAUCUCAGCUCAUUUGUCAAGAGUGCUGGAAUGCCUGGCCAAUCAUUGGAAGGAGAGAGACCCUACUGCACGCCUUAUGCCAGCAUAAGUUUCAGUGAGACUACAGGCUUGACAUGCAAAGGAAAAAAAAACCCAAAACAUAUUAAAAUGAAAAUGUAGAUGGUUAUAUACUAUGGACAUGGUACAGGAUUUCUAGGUACAGUACCAAAGGUAAAAUAAUCAGCUUUUGAGUAUAUAAAGGCAAGAACCAGUCGAUAUGGUGACACACCCCAGAAGGUGACUGUCAAAAACAUAAUAGUGAAAGGAAAACUACACACUGGGAAGGAAGAGGUGGAAAAUGCAUGCGUCAACAAGGGUUAUGUACAAGGUUCUACGGUUAGUUGAAAACGGACAGAAGUAGCAAUUCAUAAAAAAAGAACUAUAUGUGACCAAUAAGAACGUAUUUAAACAUGUUCUGCUUCACUAGAGGUGUUGGAGAAGACUCUUGAGAGUCCCUUGGACUGCAAGGAGAUUCAACCAGUCAAUCCUAAAGGAAAUCAAUCCUGAAUAUUCAUUGGAAGGACUGAUGCUGAAGCUGAAGUUCCAAUACUUUGGCCUCCUGAUGGGAAACGCUGACUCCUUAGAAAAGACCCUGAUGCUGGGAAAGAUUGAAGGUGGGAGAAAGGGACGACAGAGGAUGAGAUGGCUGGAUGGCAUCACUGACUCAAUGGACAUGAGUUUGAGCAAGCUCCGGGAGAUGGUGACGGAUAGGGAAGCCUGGUGUGCUGCAGUCCAUGGGGUCGAAAAGAGUCGGACAUGACUUGACUGAACAACAACUUCACUAGUAAUUAAAUAAAUACAAAUGGGAA